rnacentral:rRNA from 1 species
UUGACCUCAAAUCGGGUGAGACUACCCGCUGAACUUAAGCAUAUCAAUAAGCGGAGGAAAAGAAACUAACAAGGAUUCCCCUAGUAACUGCGAGUGAAGCGGGAAAAGCUCAAAUUUAAAAUCUGGUGGUCUUUGGCCAUUCGAGUUGUAAUUUAGAGAAGCGUCUUCCGCGCUGGACCGUGCACAAGUCUCCUGGAAUGGAGCGUCAUA